GUAAAUUUGAUUUUAAUUAAGGGUAUAAAAAUCCGUGCUCUUUUGCUUGUUAACCCCAACAACCCAUUUGGAUAUAUUUACACUGAGGAGGAAAUCCAGGAGUAUUUGCAGUUUGCACAUCGAAAUGAUAUUCAUGUAAUCAUGGAUGAAUUGUACUUACUAUCAAUAUUCAAGGAAGGUUGUACUAUGAAAAGUGUGCUGAGCUGCAAAAAUAUUCCAGACCCUAAACGUUUGCAUGUUCUUUGGGGCCUGAGUAAAGUAAGUAAAUCACAAAAGAGAUGACAUUUCAAUUACCAUUUAUACCUAAAAUCGUUGAGUCAAUUACUGGACAAGUCAUGCAAUUGAAACGAAAUCCAACGUUUUGACCGAAACCACC